rnacentral:lncRNA from 1 species
AAAUACUGACCUUUUCAAAUUUUUCUUUAAACUAAACACAUCCUCUCUUCUCCCGAAUAUUCAAAACCAAUUUUACAAAUAAAUCUUGCAUGGAAUCUAAGUAUGUGUGUUGCUUUUGAUUGCUCUAGGAAUUUCUCGACAAUCUUUUCUCGCCAUCCAUAAACCUUUCUUUUAAAACCCUUAGAAUUAAUAUUUGAAUUUUAUUCGAAUCUUAACCCUACUCAAAUCCUAUGUCAUACUCUGUUGAAUAUUAUUCAAAUAUAAUAUACAAUACCUCGAUCUUGUCUUUAUCAAAAACAUCUAAACCCACUCGAAACAUCUUCCAUUUCAAAAAUCCUAGAUUUAAUAUUCAAACACCAUAUGAGAAUUAGCUCGAACCCCUAAACCUUAUCCCAAUAACUCUAGAUCCCAAAAUCUCCAAAAGAUUCCAUCCCUGUAUCUAAAUCUGGGUAUAGCUCUAUUCAAAUUUGAACCGUAUUCAAGUUUGAAUAAAAAACCUAUUAAAAAACCCCUUAAACAAAUAAUCUAAACCACCUAUUCACUAACCAGGCCGACAACCACUGGUUCGGCUGAUCUCCCGUUCUAGCCUAGCUCACUCCGCCUCCGGCCCUCCUCCACCUGGGCCAUUUGUUCCCUACUCUCCAGCCCAGCUCGCCUCCGGCCUAGCUCGCUCGGCCCACCGCACGCGCCAGCCCAGCGUGCGUCGGCUCGGCCUGCUCCCACACGCUGCCGCACCAUGGCAUCACCGCC